GUGCUGGCUUCAGCAACACAUAUACUAAAACUGGAACAUAACAGAGAUUAGCACGGCCCCUGUACAAGGAUGACAUGCAAAUCUGUGAAGUGUCCCAUAUUAAA